rnacentral:tRNA from 1 species
GCCCAGAUAGCUCAGUCGGUAGAGCAGAGGAUUGAAAAUCCUCGUGUCGGUGGUUCGAUUCCGCCUC